rnacentral:lncRNA from 1 species
ACGCUACCAUCCUAUCUCUCUACGUACUCUGAGGAAACUGGGCCAAGCACAAGAAAGGGAAAGUCAGAGUGUCAUGAGGACACUCAAACAGCCCAUGGAAAGGCUCGCAAGGGAAGAACUACUGGCAUCUUGCCAACAACCAGAACCAACUAACAGCCAGGCAUGUGAGUGUGUUACCUUUGAAGCUGAUGAUCCUGCACCCCUAAUCAAGUGACAUGACAGCAGCCCUGGCACAUAUCUUCACUGCAACCUCAGGAGACCCAAAGCCAGAUCAACCCAGAAAGUCAUUUCUGAGUUCCUGACCCACAGAAACUGUGGAGUAAUAAAUGUUUACUGUUGUUUUAAGCUACUAUGUUUUGGUAUAACUUAUGCAGU